rnacentral:rRNA from 1 species
AUUGAACGCUGGCGGCAGGCCUAACACAUGCAAGUCGGACGGUAGCACAGAGAGCUUGCUCUCGGGUGACGAGUGGCGGACGGGUGAGUAAUGUCUGGGAAACUGCCCGAUGGAGGGGGAUAACUACUGGAAACGGUAGCUAAUACCGCAUAACGUCUUCGGACCAAAGUGGGGGACCUUCGGGCCUCACACCAUCGGAUGUGCCCAGAUGGGAUUAGCUAGGAGGUGGGGUAAUGGCUCACCUAGGCGACGAUCCCUAGCUGGUCUGAGAGGAUGACCAGCCACACUGGAACUGAGACACGGUCCAGACUCCUACGGUAGGCAGCAGUGGGGAAUAUUGCACAAUGGGCGCAAGCCUGAUGCAGCCAUGCCGCGUGUAUGAAGAAGGCCUUCGGGUUGUAAAGUACUUUCAGCGGGGAGGAAGGCGAUGGAGUUAAUAGCUUCAUCGAUUGACGUUACCCGCAGAAGAAGCACCGGCUAACUCCGUGCCAGCAGCCGCAGUAA